GACGAACGCUGGCGGCGUGCUUAACACAUGCAAGUCGAACGGAAAGGCCCUGCUUUUGUGGGGUGCUCGAGUGGCGAACGGGUGAGUAACACGUGAGUAACCUGCCCUUGACUUUGGGAUAACUUCAGGAAACUGGGGCUAAUACCGGAUAGGAGCUCCUGCUGCAUGGUGGGGGUUGGAAAGUUUCGGCGGUUGGGGAUGGUCUCGCGGCUUAUCAGCUUGUUGGUGGGGUAGUGGCUUACCAAGGCUUUGCCGGGUAGCCGGCCUGGGAGGGUGAACGGCGACAUUGGGACUGCGAUACGGCGCAGACUCGUACGGGAGGCAGCAGUGGAGAAUAUUGCACAGUGGGCCGAAGCCUGAUGCAGCAACGCCGCGUGCGGGAUGACGGCCUUCGGGUUGUAAACCGCUUUCGCCUGUGACGAAGCGUGAGUGACGGUAAUGGGUAAAGAAGCAACGGCUAACUACGUG
rnacentral:rRNA from 1 species